UCCUCAGAGUGGCACCUCCUCUCCUGCCCUUGGUCUUCUGUGUGCCUGUAUCUGCCUUCUGGAGAAGACAAGGAGCCUGCCCAGGGGUCCAGUCUGCCGCGUUGAUACAGAGGACUCGUCAGCUCAUUCUUCUGUCCCCAAAGUGAUCCUCUUAUUCACCUUUUGUGCGAUUUAAACUCCUCAUAUUUUAAUCCCGAGCCACAACUAAUCCAGCAGAGGUUAACACUGGAUUUACAGAGGCCGGCUGAUAGGCAAGCGACUGGUCAGCAGACUGUCCAUCACACUGUGGGAUCAUCAUUCUCUCCUUGGAAAUGGCUGAGAACUCUCUGAGAAGGACUCAGUGUCUCUGCUGGCCCCACACAGAAGCGACUGUCAGCUGCCCUAAACCCUGGCUGGCGCCUUGUGUCGCACAUGAGAAUGGGGAGCCAGGAAGUUUCUACCACAUUCUCUUCCUUUUCCAUCUCUCUCUAUCUCUCUCUCUCUCCCUCUCUUCCUUCUUAGUCCCUAAUUUAUCAAAAGACGAACUGCGUUUCUUUCAUACACCUGCAGGUGGGAUUCAAAAUCUUCCUAAGUUUCCUCUCGAUCUGCUGGCCAGCUGUGUCUCCUUCCUCUGCUUUGUGCUCCCGAGCUCGCCAUCCGGUCCCCUCGGAGCUGCUGCAGCCCCCACCUCGUCAUUAUCUCACCAGGUCUUUCCAUGUGACUUCAGCCACACGCAGGGACAGUGACCGUCAGUGACUAUUCUCAAACUUCAUAUACCCUUGUGUCUUUGGGAGCUCAGCUACUAAAAUAUGUGACACAGUGA